rnacentral:rRNA from 1 species
UACGAAGGGAGCUAGCGUUGUUCGGAAUCACUGGGCGUAAAGCGCACGUAGGCGGAUGUGUCAGUCAGGGGUGAAAUCCCGGGGCUCAACCUCGGAACUGCCUUUGAUACAGCACGUCUUGAGUCCGAUAGAGGUGGGUGGAAUUCCUAGUGUAGAGGUGAAAUUCGUAGAUAUUAGGAAGAACACCGGUGGCGAAGGCGGCCCACUGGUCCGGUACUGACGCUGAGGUGCGAAAGCGUGGGGAGCAAACAGG